rnacentral:lncRNA from 1 species
AUUCUACCUAACCAGAGCGGCUCUGGAGAACAGUAAGCUCAGGUUCGGCGCUAUGAUUAGCUUAGCCAAUCGCUGCUCCAUCCCCCAUCCCCCCCUCGCUGUCAAUCCGCCCUUACAAGCCCCACAGGCUACCCAUGCCUUGUAAAGACACAUACACACACACACACAACACACAAACACACACACACACACGUGCCGUGCAGGCUGGUAGACAUGCCCCUAUCCACCCUUCCUCCCCCCCUCACUGUCAAUUCGCCCUGACAAGCCCCCACAGGCUACCCAUGCCUUGUACAGACACACGAACGUGCCGCGCAGGCUGGUAGACAUGCCGCCCUUCAACCCUUUCUCCCCUCCUCGCUGCUAAUUUGCCCUCACAGGCCCCCAAAGGCUACCCAUGCCCUGUACAGACACAUGAAAGAACCGUGUAGACUGGUACACAUGCCCCCCUCCAUCCCCCCUCCCCCCCUCGCUGUCAAUCCGCCCUCACAAGCCCCACAGGCUACCCAUGCCUUGCAAAGACACAUACGCACACACUCAAACACACACACACACAACACACAAACACACACACACACACACAUUACACAAAAACACACACACACGUGCCGUCCAGGCUGGUAGACAUGCCCCUAUUCACCCCCCCCCCUCACUGUCAAUUUGCCCUGACAAGCCCCCACAGGCUACCCAUGCCCUGUACAGACACACGAACGUGCCGCGCAGGCUGGUAGACAUGCCCCCCUUCAACCCUUUCUCCCCUCCUCGCUGCUAAUUCGCCCUCACAGGCCCCCAAAGGCUACCCAUGCCCUGUACAGACACACGAAAGAACCGUGUAGACUGGUACACAUGCCCCUCUCCAUCCCCCCUCCCCCCCUCGCUGUCAAUCCGCCCUCACAAGCCCCACAGGCAUACCCAUGCCUUGUAAAGACACAUACACACACACACACACACAAACACACAAACACACACACACACACACACACACGUGCCGUGCAGGCUGGUAGACACGCCCCUAUCCACCCUUCCUCCCCCCCUCACUGUCAAAUCGCCCUGACAAGGCCCCACAGGCUACCCAUGCCUUGUAAAGACACAUACGCUUACACACAAACACACACACACACACACACAACACACACACACUCACACAACACACACACACACACACACACACACACACACACACACACACACACACACGUGCCGUGCAUGCUGGUAGACAUGCCCCACACCACCCCUUCCCUCCCCCUCUCGCUG